AUUUUUCAAUUGUAGACUAUAGACUAGCCAGGCACUAGUUAGCGUGCUAUUCCAGUAACAUUAUGUCUAACGAGCAGACCAUAUUCUGAUGAACUAGCAAACUAAAUUCUAGCUAAUGUUAAGUAUCUAGCAGGACAUUACAAACAAUGUCACGAUUGAUUAAUUCUUUCAUUAAUGUCAAUGUGAUAGCUAUCGAUAUCUUUUAACGAUGGCUGUCCUUCCUAACGUUAGCUAGCCGGCCUUUUGAUACUAGUUAGCCUACCUAUCUAAGUAUCAUUCAAUAAAUAAUGUGACUUGGGUUACGGACGAUUCCCUAAGUGUCAGAUACUGUAAGUUGUUGAAGUGUAACAACUCAAACUGAGGUUGGCUCUGCAUUCGCCAUUUUGAUGGAAACGUCUUCUCUGUCACUACCAGCCAAGCAAAUUGUAGACCUACUAAACUUUUUAAUACUUUGAAGUACGUUUAGAAGUAAAACCUUUUGAAACUUUCACUCAAGUGUAUUUUCAGCGAGAUACUACUUGAAUUUUAAUUAAGUAAGGUGUACCCAUGCUUAACGUGAUAGCAUAAUUUCUGGGUACUUUUUUCAUCUCGGCAUGCAGAUACUUCUGGAUCUUCAUCCAGAGAGUAUGGAACUCAACCAGGCCCAGUGUGGAACUUCCAUCUUUCUGCAAACUGUCAAGAUGGCGUAUCCGAUGGUGUUGAGGUCGGUGCCAAAACUCUUAUCCUUUCGGCCGUCCUUCUGCAUGAGCCCCACCAGGAGGGUGCAGCCAUCUUCAUCCAGGGGGUCAUCGUCCUCAUCCUCCAGCGUGAUGGCAAACUGGGGGUUGGAGGAGAAGGUGGCUGUGGAGGGGAUAGAUGAGCAGAAUGAGGUUUUAAGGGGGGAUUAUGCCAAUACACAUUUUUACCCUUUGUCCUAAUUUUGGUAUGAAUGCAAUGAUAUAUUUCUGAUGCCUACUGCAAGGCCUGGUUUCUUAAGCUUGUACAUGUGUAGUUUCUGAAGCUUGUACCUGUGUGGUUUCUAAAGCUUGUACCUGUGUGGUUUCUAAAGCUUGUACCUGUGUGGUUUCUGAAGCUUGUACCUGUGUGGUUUCUGAA